rnacentral:rRNA from 1 species
UGCCAGCCGCCGCGGUAACACGUAAGGAGCGAACGUUGUUCGGGAUUAUUGGGCGUAAAGCGCACGUAGGCGGACUUUUAAGUCAGGGGUGAAAUCCCGGAGCUCAACUCCGGAACUGCCUUUGAUACUGGAAGUCUUGAGUCCGAGAGAGGUGAGUGGAACUCCGAGUGUAGAGGUGAAAUUCGUAGAUAUUCGGAAGAACACCAGUGGCGAAGGCGGCUCACUGGCUCGAUACUGACGCUGAGGUGCGAAAGUGUGGGGAGCAAACACGAUUAGAUA